rnacentral:lncRNA from 1 species
AUCAGCAGGAACACCACCAAGAUGAGGAGAGAGUGAACCUGCAGCUCCACCCCAGAUGAUUCUUUAACGUGAGACACUAGCAGCAGGAGCAGCACGUAGACACCCAGGACCGUGGCACCUCUUUCUAGGAGCACACACCUCUGCCGUAGCAUGUUCUUGCUCACCAUUUCUACACAGCCAUCAAGGGUGAGAAGGAAGAACAUGGUGAGGUGCUGCCACUCCUUGGGGUACAUAAACCUUGGUGGCACCCCUUUGGUCAUUAAUGUCAGCCCUUCUUUAACACAACUGAUCUCAUAAACGAUCAAGAGGGAGCCGAUCACAACCUUCAACCAGCCUGCAUGGGCUAUUUUCCACAGCCGGGCCCAUUUCCCCUUAUUCUUGGAAAGGUAGGAAGGAUACAGAAGAGAGUCAUUGAAUAUCACAGCUCUGGAGACUAUUACUGCUUGAUACAGACCAUAGAAGACCAGAAACAAGCCUGGAGAUAUAUGGCCAAUAAAGUCUCCCAUUGAGCUAUGAGUCUAACAAGGUGUAAAACUCGGAUACACAGGCUGCAAGGUCUGGGCUUUGAGAAUUGUCUUCCACUUAGUUUUAUCACCUCACUUCACCCACUGCUCACCACAGAGGGGAAACGUUUCUUGAGACAAGCCCACACAGUUGGCAGAGAUGUGGCCCCCAUUGCCCCAUUCUCCUCUGGUGCAUUGGGAACUGAGUGGGUUCUUGGGGGCUUCUCCUGAGUGGCUUUGGCUCAUGCCUGUCCCCGGCUCAAGUUUCCUUCCUCUCAUCCUGCCUGGUGCUGAGUAGGAAGGAAAUAGUGGGCUGGGUUACUGCGUACCCAGAGAAAGCCUGUGCUCACUUGUAUUCCCAAGUGUCUGCUGGUAAUUCUCAGACCUAAGUUCUGUCUAUCUGUAAAGGAGGAUGUGUUUGUUCUGGGCACAGACGUAGAAACAUUUAGAGACAUAUAAUAGCAUCCACCUGGCUUUUCUAGUCUUCUGUUGCAGACAUAUCUUGAAGACCACCUAGAGAGUUCCCUCUCCUCCUCUUCCACCCUUCCCCACCCCUUCCUAACUACCACCACCAAACCAUCACCAUCUUUAUGGCCAGGAGACAAACCUGCAGCGGUGCAGAGGUGGUGGUGUACCUGCGCCAGCAAAACUAAGCUUGAAUGAAGUUUCCCAGAAUACCCUUCCCCACAUGGCUCCAAGCAGAGGUCGGCUACAAGUGGAGUUUUCACAAGUCUGAAGGCAGGAGUGGACAGCAGCCCAAUCACACUGACAGAGUAUGGUGCCAGGCACCACUGUCACCCAUGCAUUUUGUUAUUCACCUUUAGGUUACCUCCAGGGGUGAUGAGCAGGUAGACCUGUAGCCCCUUAGAUUCUCCUGCUGUCUGCCUUCCAUUGAGCGGUGAUGUGGCGAAAGGCAGGUGCUGCCUCCAGUUGAUCUUGAAACUACUGCAGGCCCACUACUGCUAGGUUUCAUCACCAGCUCCCGCAAAUAUGCAAAGUCUGCCCUUUAAGAAGACAUCCACUAUCUGUAUCUUCUGAAUACCACUGCCUCUAUAACCUAUUAGAACAUGAGAAAUUAGAGAUAGUUCCUAAAACGUGAAUAACAUUGACAAAAGUGACCCCAGCAAGCUGGAAUUAGCCAUUUAGUGUGUAAGGGGAAACAGUUCACUUGCCUCAUCUCUCUCUGAUACUGGUUAAAGGCUAGGGAGCAUAGGCAGAGGGGAUUGUGGAGAUCCAAGUCCAGGCAAUGGGAAGUAUGUGCACAAAGCACACAUGGUCCUGGACUUACUAUAGAGGGUGCGUGGAAUAGGAGUUUCCUAGGGAGAAUGUGUCCUGAGUGAAAAGGAAAUUCAACCGGAUCAUGAACCAAGCUGACACCAGUCUUUGGCAUAACCAUUUUCCUUCACACUACCAGCCACUGCAACGCAGAGGCUGCCACACCUGUACGAUAACGGUACCCAGGUGAGGAGGAAGGAUGCUAAUACCUACAACACAGCACCGGCUCCUGGGCCCUCAUCCCUAUCCAAAUGUGAUGUGCUGGUGGAAUCGCAUCCGGAUAAACCUAUCGCAGCAUGAGUGAACCUAACCUACAGAGCACAGGGCUAAGGAGACAGUUCAGUGGGUAAGGUGCUUGCCAUUCAAGCAUGAGAACCGGAGUUCAGUCCCCCAAAGCCAUGAAAAAAUGCUUGCUUGAUGAUACAUGUAAUACUCUGGAAGCGGAGACAGGCAGAUCCUGGGGCUUGAUGGCCACUCAGCCUAUCCUACGUGGUAACAAUAAGGACAAUAAGAAAGCCUGCCUCAAAAAAAAAAAAAAUCAUGGGGGCUGGAGAGAUGGCUCAGACGUUAAGAGCACUGGCUGCUCUUCCAGAGGUCCUGAGUUCAAUUCUCAGCGGCCACAUGGUGGCUCAUAAACUGUUAUAAUGAGAUCUGGUGUCCUCUUCUGGUGUGCAGGCAUACAUGCAAGUAGAAUAUUAUCACAAAUAAAUAAAAACCUUAAAAAGAAAGAGAAAGAGGAAGGGGAAGGGAAAGGGAAAGGGAAAAGGAAAAAGAUAA